rnacentral:lncRNA from 10 species
UGCCAAGCUGUGCAGCGGAAGACAGAGGGGCCAGCACACACGGGCCCUCUCUCCCUCAGGCAGGUCUCCAUCCCACUGCCAGCUCUAGACCAGCAGGCCUGGGAGGAAAGAAGGUAGGCCAUCAGCUGGGGUGCAGAUGGAACACCUGCCAGUGGCUGAGAGUGUUCCUGAAAAUAAUCGAAUGAAGAGGCAAUACCUUUCCCCAGGGCUUGUUUCACAGAGGGCACCCAGGUUGGCACGAACACGUGCACUCAGUGACUGUGCCUGCUCUACACUUGGGCUUUUUCACCUCAAGGUUUACGCUAUGACUCAGCACAAGGAAUCGGUUCCUUCCUGCCUUCACCAGGAGGCUCAUGAAUUCACCGUCAUGCAGAGAUUUUAAAGACAACACCACUUCUGCUGGAUCAAAACCGGGAUUUUAAGUGAGCCCGCAGCAGACCCUUGGGAUUUUCUGGAACAGCGAUCCUAGUCUGCUCGGCAGCGGGAGUCAGCUCCAUCCUUCUGCAAGCGGACUCCCGUCAGAGACCAUCGCCCUCUGCCUGCAUGCUGUGCCCUGCGCCGCCCUGACCACCACUCAUGGAAAGAGAUGAUGAACUUAUUAAAGCCAACAACCGAAUCCUGUAUGUCAAACAGUAAUUCUAGUUGCCACAGAACCCAGUCUAGCAGUUGAGGUCCCAGAAUGGAAGGAAUCUGUCAGUAACAUUUUUGGCUCAUCAGGUCUUACAAAAUGUGUGAGAAGCAGAAAAGAAUGUUUUUCAAAGGUACUAUAAUCUAUAACCGACUUGGAAGGAAUGCAUAUGGGUGGAUCCAUUCCCUACUCUCUCUUUUAGAAGCUAUUUCUCUCUUUAUCCCACAGGCUGACAAAGGCUAGCCUGUGUGAAGUUUCAAUGUGGUUGAAGUUCACAAUGCUUUCUCCUCGUUUCCCACAAGGGUCCCCAUUAAAACAAUCUAGUGUUUCUCAGUACAUUUGUUGGCCUUGUCACAAAGUGAAAAGAACCAAGUCUGUGUGAACUUUCCUUUUCUGACCUCAUUUUCCUCUUUUGUUCGAGGACGGCUGUGUUUUUUCAGCUUCUGUGACUUACAGGAGACUCUGUGCCCAAUUUUCAAAGGAUCUGGGCAGUUGCACAGCCUGGUCUGUAGCUGUAAUCAAUUUAGCCAUGCCUCCAAAAGCAAAAAAUAGCUUAAAAGAAGCCAUCCUAGAGGGAAGAUGUGUGCUCCCUUCCCCUCGACCGGACGGAGUAUCAUCCCUCUCCUUUAUAUGGAGUUCCAAAAGUACUUUGGGCUGAAAGCCCAAAAAGAGGGCUAUAUCAUAGCGUUAAAAAUGGAACAUCAGAUGGAGAGGGUUCUCCCCAGGUUCCAUUCUCCCUCCUCUCGCUAGGCCCAGGCAAAACUCUACUUAAAUCAUCCCUGAAAGCUGGGGUCCAAUAGGCCUGAAGAGGGAGCUUCCCUGUUCCAUGCUAUUUUGGGAAUGUAAUCACAACAAUCAAUCAUCCACCAUUCCAAAUUUCCAGGGUCUAGAUGGGGUGUUUCACAGCGCUUGCCAUGGCCCACAUUUUAGCUGGCUGAUUGCAGGGGGGGCUUUUAAUGAGAAGCUAGAGUGUUUUAUCUAAUGAACCACCUGUCUCACAUGAUGAAGAUAAAUUUCUCUCUGGAGGCAGGACAGUGGACUAGAUGACACUUCCCAGUUUCUUUCAACAUAGAGAUGUUAUGACUCCCUUGUGAGUAUUCCUCUAGAGGAUGCUGCAUUCUUAACCCUUAAUUCCAACUUAAAUGGAUGCUCUCAGCUUCAUUUUUCCAUUGACUGGAUGUAAUUAGGGCAGUCACCAGUAAUGACACCUAACCUGGUCUUUUCCAUUAAGAGGCAACCUAAUAAAGAUGGGGCCAGACAUCAGCAGCCUUCAUAAAGUGGUGGAGGAAUCCUGAAGCCUAGACUGCUGAGCCUCUGCAGACUGUGCGGGGUGCGGGGCGGGAAAAUGAAGAAGGGAGAGAAGACAAUAGAACAGGAGGGGAGGGGAGGAGAGAGGAGAAAAGAGAAGAGAAGAGGAGAAAAGAGAAGAGAAGAGAAGAGAAGGUGGGUGCAGGGAGAGGUAAAGCUGGGCAGAAAAUGAGAUGGGGAACAAGUUGCGUUGCAUCCUAAACAGCAAGGGUCAAGGGGGGAAAGAGAGAAGGAGGAGGCUGAAGAAUAAGAAAAAAUGAUGGGCUGAUGGGAUUGAGAGAGGAAGGAAGAACAAGGAGCCUAAGGCUUGAGCCAGAAGUCAAUGGUCCAUUUUGGCCCUUUAGAGGACAUGAAGGAAGUGCCAAGGGAUCCCACCCUGCUGUGUCCAUCUUCAAGUGGUAUAAGGAUUGCCUGUCCCCUGGGUCCCCUUUGGGAUGCUGGGCCCUUUCACUUAGGUGAGUUAAUAGUCUGACAGGCCACAGUGGCAGCCUGGCAGUGCUGUGUCACAUGGCAGUGAUGCAGGUUAGUUUUAAGAGACAAAUCACCGAGGGCCUGGCUAACUGUGGAAUCUUUGAAAUGGCUGGUGGGUAGAGGGGGUGUGUGAGGAGGGAGGAAGCAGGAUGGGAAAGGGUAAACAGCUGCUGCUAUGACUUCCCUGGGGUCAGACUGGGGGGAAGAGCCAUGACUCAGCCUUUUGCUUUCAGAUAUGCCAAGUCCUGAACCACAGGGGACAUCAACUGGAGUCCCUGGAUGUGCUCUGUCCAACUUCCAGUUCCAUGGGGCGAGGGGAGUGGAUGGGGUCCACUUCUGAUGAGCUGGAACUUCCCAAGGCACGUGGGCGAGAGGGAGCACCGAGUGCAUGGAGAGAGGGUGGCUGGGACGGGGUGAACACGCCUAACUCUAGAGAUUCGGACCCAAAUCUGGACCGAGACUCCUCCACACCAGUCCUCCCACCUCUUGUUUUCAAGAAACAUUUUCCAGCUGGAAAACCUUAGAAGCUGGAAAAACAAGUAUCCCAAGGGGAAAAGUAUGAGGUGUUCUUAACUAAAGAAGCAUAAAAUAAAAUAAAACACAAAUGAAAGUGACAAAUGGAGGAGGGAAGCCUG